rnacentral:tRNA from 2 species
UAGGAAGUAGUUUAAGUAGUAAAACCAAGAAAUUUGAAUUCUAAAAUACAAGUGCAACUCUUGUCUUCCUAA